CUACUUCUUGGAGAGAGCCUGAGAAUGGAGCCAACAAAGAAGAAUGCAGAAUGGUGAGAUAGAGUGAGAAUUCUGAUUUCAACAUUUGAGCAUCUAGAUACUGCUGUUCCUAAAGGGAAGCAGAAGAGUCAGUGUUACUGAGAUAAGAUGUGAGAGAGAUUCAGUCGUUACUGGAUUUGAAGAUGGAAGGAGGAAAUAAGUCAAAAGAAUGGGAACAUUAUCUAGAAGCUGAUACGGCAAGAA
rnacentral:lncRNA from 10 species